GACGAACGCUGGCGGCGUGCCUAACACAUGCAAGUCGAGCGGGGUUGAAGCGAGGGGUAACUCGAACUUCUACCUAGCGGCGGACGGGUGAGUAACGCGUGGGCAACCUGCCUCAAGGUCUGGGAUAACAGCUCGAAAGGGCUGCUAAUACCGGAUAUGCCUAUAGCCUCGCAUGGGGCUAUGAGCAAAGGGGAAACCCGCCUUGAGAUGGGCCCGCGUCCCAUCAGCUAGUUGGUGAGGUGAAGGCUCACCAAGGCGACGACGGGUAGCCGGCCUGAGAGGGUGACCGGCCACACUGGGACUGAGACACGGCCUAGACUCCUACGGGGGGCAGCAGUGGGGAAUCUUGCACAAUGGGCGAAAGCCUGAUGCAGCGACGCCGCGUGAGCGAAGAAGGCCUUCGGGUUGUAAAGCUCUGUCUGGAAGGACGAAGAAAGUGACGGUACCUCCGGAGGAAGCCACGGCUAACUACGUG
rnacentral:rRNA from 1 species